UACGGGGGGGGGCAAGCGUUGUUCGGAAUUACUGGGCGUAAAGGGCUCGUAGGUGGCCAACUAAGUCAGACGUGAAAUCCCUCGGCUUAACCGGGGAACUGCGUCUGAUACUGGAUGGCUUGAGUUUGGGAGAGGGAUGCGGAAUUCCAGGUGUAGCGGUGAAAUGCGUAGAUAUCUGGAGGAACACCGGUGGCGAAGGCGGCGAUCCUGGACCAACACUGACACUGAGGAGCGAAAGCCAGGGGAGCAAAACGGG
rnacentral:rRNA from 1 species